rnacentral:rRNA from 1 species
UACGUAGGGUGCAAGCGUUGUCCGGAAUUAUUGGGCGUAAAGGGCUCGUAGGCGGUUUGUCGCGUCGGGAGUGAAAACUCAGGGCUUAACCCUGAGCCUGCUUCCGAUACGGGCAGACUAGAGGUAUGCAGGGGAGAACGGAAUUCCUGGUGUAGCGGUGAAAUGCGCAGAUAUCAGGAGGAACACCGGUGGCGAAGGCGGUUCUCUGGGCAUUACCUGACGCUGAGGAGCGAAAGUGUGGGGAGCAAACAGG